UUCCUUAAGCACAGGUUCAAAGGGCGCAUGCGUAAACGCUACGCAACAGCAGUGAUGAACGUUACUGCCAUCCAGGCACGACACAGACCAAUCCGCCUCGGGGUGCAGCUUACCCUCUCAGAACAAGCCCGCGGCACCCGACGCCCCUCCCCUUUUCCUCCGGCCUUCCCUGACGGAAGCGGAAGCGGCGCUCGCGCACACUAGUGGUCUAGUUCCCUGGCUCCGGAAGCCGCCCUCCUUCACCCUCCUCGUUGGUCUCCUGUCACCAUGGCGCUGGCUGUCUUGCGGGUCCUGGAGCCCUUUCCGACCGAGACACCCCCGUUGGCAGUGCUGCUGCCGCCCGGGGGCCCGUGGCCGGCGGCGGGGCUGGGCCUGGUGCUGGCCCUGAGGCCUGCAGGGGAGAGCCCGGCAGGGCCGGCGCUGCUGGUGGCAGCCCUGGAGGGGCCGGGCGCGGGCACCGAAGAGCAGGGUCCCGGGCCCCCGCAGCUCCUGGUUAGCCGCGCGCUCCUGCGGCUCCUGGCACUAGGCUCCGGGGCCUGGGUGCGGGCGCGGCCGGUGCGGCGGCCCCCAGCGCUAGGCUGGGCACUGCUUGGCACCUCUGUGGGGCCUGGGCUCGGACCACGAGUCGGGCCGCUGCUGGUGAGGCGCGGAGAGACCCUCCCAGUGCCCGGACCGCGGGUGCUGGAGACGCGGCCGGCGUUGCAAGGGCUGCUAGGCCCAGGGACUCGGCUGGCUGUGACUGAGCUCCGCGGGCGGGCCAGACUGUGCCCAGAGUCUGGGGACAGCAGUCGGCCCCCACCCCCGCCCGUGGUGUCCUCCUUUGCGGUUUCUGGCACAGUCCGGCGACUGCAGGGAGUUCUGGGAGGGACUGGAGAUUCACUAGGGGUGAGCCGGAGCUGUCUCCGUGGCCUUGGCCUCUUCCAGGGCGAAUGGGUGUGGGUGGCCCGGGCCGGAGAGUCAUCGAACACUUCACGGCCGCAUUUGGCCAGGGUGCAGGUCCUAGAACCUCGCUGGGACCUCUCUGAUAGACUGGGACCCGGCUCUGGGCAGCUGGGAGAGCCCCUCGCUGACGGACUGGCGCUCGUCCCUGCCACUUUGGCUUUUAAUCUUGGCUGUGACCCCCUGGAAGUGGGAGAGCUCAGAAUUCAGAGGUAUUUGGAAGGCUCCAUUGCCCCUGAAGACAAAGGAAGCUGCUCAUUGCUGCCUGGGCCUCCAUUUGCCAGAGAGUUAUACAUCGAAAUUGUGUCUUCUCCCCACUACAGCACUAAUGGAAAUUAUGAUGGUGUUCUUUACCGGCACUUUCAGAUACCCAGGGUAGUCCAGGAAGGGGAUGUUCUGUGUGUGCCAACAAUUGGGCAAGUAGAGAUCCUGGAAGGAAGUCCAGAGAAACUGCCCAGGUGGCGGGAAAUGUUUUUUAAAGUGAAGAAAACAGCUGGGGAAGCUCCAGAUGGGCCAGCCAGCGCCUACUUGGCCGACACCACUCAUACCUCCUUGUACAUGGUGGGUUCUACCCUGAGCCCUGUUCCAUGGCUUCCUUCAGAGAAAUCCACUCUCUGGAGCAGUUUGUCUCCUCCAGGCUUGGAGGCCUUGGUGUCUGAACUCUGUGCUGUCCUGAAGCCUCGCCUCCAGCCAGGGGGUGCCCUGCUGACAGGAACUAGCAGUGUCCUUCUACGGGGGCCCCCGGGCUGUGGGAAGACCACAGUAGUUGCUGCUGCCUGUAGUCAACUUGGGCUCCAUUUACUGAAGGUGCCCUGCUCCAGCCUCUGCGCAGACAGUAGUGGGGCUGUGGAGACAAAACUGCAGGCCAUCUUCUCCCGGGCCCGCCGCUGCCGGCCUGCAGUGCUGUUGCUCACAGCCGUGGACCUUCUGGGCCGGGACCGCGAUGGGCUGGGUGAGGAUGCCCGUGUGGUGGCUGCGCUGCGUCACCUCCUCCUUGAUGAGGACCCCCUCAACAGCUGCCCUCCCCUCAUGGUUGUGGCCACCACAAGCUGGGCCCAAGACUUGCCUGCUGAUGUGCAGACAGCAUUUCCUCAUGAGCUGGAGGUGCCUGCUCUAUCAGAGGGGCAGCGGUUCAGCAUCCUGCGGGCCCUCACUGCCCAUCUUCCCCUGGGCCAGGAGGUGAACUUGGCACAGCUAGCACGGCGGUGUGCAGGCUUUGUGGUAGGGGAUCUCUAUGCUCUUCUGACCCACAGCAGCCGGGCAGCCUGCACCAGGAUCAAGAACUUAGGUUUGGCAGGUGGCUUGACUGAGGAGGAUGAGGGGGAGCUGUGUGCUGCUGGCUUUCCCCUCCUGGCUGAGGACUUUGGGCAGGCACUGGAGCUACAACAGACAGCUCACUCCCAGGCUGUUGGAGCCCCCAAGAUCCCCUCAGUGUCCUGGCAUGAUGUAGGUGGGCUGCAGGAGGUGAAGAAGGAGAUCCUGGAGACCAUUCAGCUCCCCCUGGAGCACCCUGAGCUACUGAGCCUGGGCCUAAGACGCUCAGGCCUUCUGCUCCAUGGGCCCCCUGGCACCGGCAAGACCCUCCUGGCCAAGGCAGUAGCCACUGAGUGCAGCCUUACCUUCCUCAGCGUGAAGGGGCCAGAGCUCAUUAACAUGUAUGUGGGCCAAAGUGAGGAGAAUGUGCGGGAAGUGUUUGCCAGGGCCAGGGCUGCAGCUCCGUGCAUUAUCUUCUUUGAUGAACUGGACUCUUUGGCCCCAAGCCGGGGGCGAAGUGGAGAUUCUGGAGGAGUGAUGGACAGGGUAGUGUCUCAGCUCCUUGCCGAGCUGGAUGGGCUGCACAGCACUCAGGAUGUGUUUGUGAUCGGAGCCACCAACAGACCAGAUCUCCUGGACCCUGCCCUUCUGCGGCCUGGCAGAUUUGACAAGCUGGUGUUUGUGGGGGCAAACGAGGACCGGGCCUCCCAGCUACGUGUUCUGAGUGCCAUCACACGCAAAUUCAAGCUAGAGCCAUCUGUGAGCCUGGUAAACGUGCUAGAUUGCUGCCCUCCCCAGCUGACAGGUGCGGACCUCUACUCUCUCUGCUCUGAUGCCAUGACAGCUGCCCUCAAACGCAGGGUUCAUGACCUGGAGGAAGGGCUGGAGCCAGGGAGCUCAGCACUGAUGCUUACCAUGGAGGACCUGCUGCAGGCUGCCGCCCGGCUGCAACCAUCAGUCAGUGAACAGGAGCUGCUCCGGUACAAGCGCAUCCAGCACAAGUUUGCUGCCUGCUAGGAGCCCCCCAGGGCCUGGGACCCCACUCAGCAUGGCUGCAGACUGGCAAAGGCCGCCCCGACAUGCCGGUCCUGUGGUUCUGCGGCUGCGAGGUACAGGCUGAGCCGGACUCCGAUCUCAUGCAACGCCCCCGGCCCCCUCCUGGGCUUACCCGGUGCCACAGGCCACGUCGAGCACCCGCUGGCAGCCGUGCUGUCGCAGCAGCCCGAGCAGCCAUGCCUUGUACUCGGCGGUGCGGCUGCGGGUGUUCCCAAUGUACAGCUGCCACACGCGCGCCGCCUCCCCGUCCGCGUACUGGUCCGGGAGCCCUUCGGCUGCCACCCCCAGGGAGCGGGUCCGGUACACGCUGUCCACCAUCCUGCGCCGCGCCUGGCUCCGCAGUCACUCGCUCGGCACUUACAGCACAGGCACUUCAGGCGGCCGACCGCCCCACCCGGCCAAUGGCAGAUGCCAAGAACCUGGACACCCUCCAUCAUUAACAUAUUCUGAUGAGCCAGCCAGGGGAAAGAGAGACCAUCAGGCUUCAGCUGAUCAUGCAACAAAGGUUCCAGCCAGUUCCAGGUGAGGACACCAG